CCUUGUUUUCUCACGUGAGAUCGGCACCACCACAGUUCGAAAGUCGACGAAAUUCGAGGUUUUAGCCGGCCGGCGACCGAACAGAGAGGGGACGUCGUGCCACGGAUUCAUUCAUAAAUGAAACUAGAAUACUUUCUGAAUCCGACAGUGUAAAC